UGAAUCGCUAGCUCAGUAGGUAGAGCACAACACUUUUAAUGUUGGGGUCCUGGGUUCGAGCCCCAGGCGGUUCACAAG
rnacentral:tRNA from 1 species